AACGCGAAGAACCUUACCUGGGCUUGAACCGCACAGGACCAUUCCUAGAAAUAGGGACUUCCCGCAAGGGACCUGUGUAGAGGUGCUGCAUGGCUGUCGUCAGCUCGUGCCGUGAGGUGUUGGGUUAAGUCCCGCAACGAGCGCAACCCUUACUCGUAGUUGCCACCCGCAAGGGGGAACUCUACGAGGACUGCUCCGGAUAACGGAGAGGAAGGUGGGGAUGAGGUCAAGUCAGCAUGGCCUUUAUGUCCAGGGCUACACACGUGUUACAAUGCGCGCUACAAACCGUCGCAAACCCGCGAGGGGGAGCUAAUCGGAAAAAGCCGGCCUCAGUUCGGAUUGGAGUCUGCAACCCGACUCCAUGAAGCUGGAAUCGCUAGUAAUCGCGGAUCAGAACGCCGCGGUGAAUACGUUCCCGGGCCUUGUACACACCGAGACGUA
rnacentral:rRNA from 1 species